GAGUUUGAUCAUGGCUCAGAUUGAACGCUGGCGGCAUGCUUUACACAUGCAAGUCGAACGGCAGCGAGGAAGUGCUUGCACUUCUGUCGGCGAGUGGCGAACGGGUGAGUAACGCAUCGGAACGUACCGAGUAGUGGGGGAUAACUGUCCGAAAGGAUGGCUAAUACCGCAUACGCUUUGAGAAGGAAAGCGGGGGACCAUUUGGCCUCGCGCUAUUCGAGCGGCCGAUGUCUGAUUAGCUGGUUGGUGGGGUAAAGGCCUACCAAGGCGACGAUCAGUAGCGGGUCUGAGAGGAUGAUCCGCCACACUGGGACUGAGACACGGCCCAGACUCCUACGGGAGGCAGCAGUGGGGAAUUUUGGACAAUGGGGGGAACCCUGAUCCAGCCAUGCCGCGUGUCUGAAGAAGGCCUUCGGGUUGUAAAGGACUUUUGUCAGGGAAGAAAAGGUUGCGGUUAAUACCCGCGACU
rnacentral:rRNA from 1 species